GACGACAAGACCCUAAAAGCUUUAUAUAUAAAAUUGUUUGCUGGGGCAGUAGACUUAAAUAAAUUAAGUUAAAGAAUUAUCUUUUGAGGUAUUUGAUCCUUAAAAUUAGGAUAAAUGGAGUUAGUUACUUUAGGGAUAACAGCGUAAUUAUUUUGGAGAGUUCUUAUCGAUAAAGUAGAUUGCGACCUCGAUGUUGAAUUAGGAUAUCUUUGAGACGCAAAAGGUUCAAAAGAUGGUUUGUUCAACCAAUAAUUUUCUACAUGAUCUGAGA
rnacentral:rRNA from 1 species